rnacentral:rRNA from 1 species
UACGUAGGGGGCAAGCGUUGUCCGGAAUCAUUGGGCGUAAAGCGCGUGUAGGCGGUCCGGUAAGUCCGCUGUGAAAGUCCAGGGCUCAACCCUGGGAUGCCGGUGGAUACUGUCGGGCUAGAGUACGGAAGAGGCGAGUGGAAUUCCCGGUGUAGCGGUGAAAUGCGCAGAUAUCGGGAGGAACACCAAUUGCGAAGGCAGCUCGCUGGGACGUUACUGACGCUGAGACGCGAAGGCGUGGGAGCAAACAGGG